AUGGUUGUGUUGUUAUCUUGCCCUCUGUCCCUCAAGAGACAGCAAGCUCUUACAGGAAGACCCAGGAGGGAACUUGUUUAUUGCUGUUCACACCACAUUCUCCGGGAGUCUACCUUGCACAGGUGUAACGAGGAUUCAAAGACCAACACCUCUGUGUUCCACACCAGUGAGCCACAUCUGGAGGGCUCUGAAACAGAAGGAAGCGUGACUUCUUGUCCUUGAGUUUUGCCUUCAUGGUUAUUAGUGUAUCUUCUUUUGUGAAAUGUCUAUUCAAGUCUUGCUUAUUUUAAAACUAGAUUGUUCAUCUCUUUACUGUUGGUUUGUAAGUUCUGGGGUCAAAUCCUUCAGAUAUUUCCCCCGACCUGUGCAGGCUCACCUGUUCAUUUUCUUAGUGGUGUCUUUUGAUGAGCGGAAAUGUCUAAUUUUGGUAAUAUCAAAGUUAUCAGUUUUGCUCUUUGAUGGCUAAUGGUUUCUUGGGGUUUUAUCUGAGAAAUCUUUGCCUGCCACAAGAUCAUAAAGAGAGAGUCUUGUAUUUUCUUCCAUUACCUUAUAGUCUGGAUUUUAUAUUCAGGUCUAUAAUUCAGCACAAAUUUAUUUUUAUUUGUGAAGUGAGGCGGAGGUUGGGGUCCAUUUUUUCCCUAUCAUGUCUGCUCUUCAGCCACAUUUGUUGAAAAGACCUUUCACCAUUGGACUGACUUGGAAACUUGGUUAAAAAUCCGUCAGCUGUCUAUGGGGGGUCUAUUUCUGGAGUCAUUAACCUGUAAUUUCUGAGCAACACACUCUAAAGAGUGGGCCUUUCAAGAUUUCCUUACCCUCGGCCUGUAUUUUAAAGGGACUAAGAAUUCUUGGUUUUGAGAAAAUAAAGCACAUGCUGGUUGAAUUAUAGUUCUUUGGGGGAAAAUAUUUUCAAACACCAUAAGUAAGCAGCAUGGCAACCAUAAAUCUCUCUCCUCAAAUAACAUGAAGGACCUGCUUGUUUUAUUUUCUAAUGAAAAUUCAAUUUGCCUUUGAGACCUUAUACCUCCGUUUUACCAUGCUGGUAAGAAGACCAUUUCAAAUCUUUCCUGAUAUUUUCCUUCCCCAAGGUUGUAAAAGAAUCUUUUUUCAGGAGGUUGAAAAAUUAUGGGAGG
rnacentral:lncRNA from 1 species